AUGCAAGUCGAACGCUUUAACUUCACCGGGUGCUUGCACCCAUCGAAGUUAAGGAGUGGCGGACGGGUGAGUAACACGUGGGUAACCUGCCCAUAAGAGGGGGAUAACAUUCGGAAACGGAUGCUAAUACCGCAUAUUUCUAAUCGUCUCCUGACGAAUGGAAGAAAGGUGGCUUCGGCUACCGCUUAUGGAUGGACCCGCGGCGUAUUAGCUAGUUGGUGAGGUAAUGGCUCACCAAGGCGAUGAUACGUAGCCGACCUGAGAGGGUGAUCGGCCACACUGGGACUGAGACACGGCCCAGACUCCUACGGGAGGCAGCAGUAGGGAAUCUUCCGCAAUGGACGAAAGUCUGACGGAGCAAUGCCGCGUGAGUGAAGAAGGUUUUCGGAUCGUAAAACUCUGUUGUUAGAGAAGAACAAGGAUGAGAGUAACUGCUCAUCCCCUGACGGUAUCUAACCAGAAAGCCACGGCUAACUACGUGCCAGCAGCCGCGGUAAU
rnacentral:rRNA from 1 species